rnacentral:lncRNA from 1 species
UAAACAUCUAAGUUUAAAAAACUAAACAUCCUUUACAAGAAUUUUUUUAAAAAAAUAGCAAAAUGAACCCAAAUAAAAUAGAAAUAGGCAAUAAUAAAUGUGAUAGCACAAAUUCAUAAAAUAGAAUACAAACACACAAUAAAGAGACUCAGCAAAGCCACAUAUAGUUCUUUACAGAAGAAAAAAUAAAAUCGAUAAGGCUUUGGAGUGAUUGAUCAAGUAAACAGAAGAAAAGGCACACAAAUUAAUAUCAGGCUUGCAAUUAAAGCCUGUAGUAGAUUAUUAGAAGAUACAGUAAACAGAAAAAUCACUAUGACCAGCAGUAAGUAAAAAGUUAAUAAAACUCAUGGCAAACUAGAAAAUUUAGAUGAAAUGCAAAGAUUUCUGGAAAAAUACAGCUUUUUAAUAAACGUAAGAAAUCACAAUAGUUCUGUGAUCCUCAGGAUAAUUUAAUUGAGUCAAUCUUUUAUGGAACAUUCAGGUCCAGUUGACUUCACUGUGCAGUUCUAACAUUUAAAGAAGAAAUAAAUGCAACAUUAUAUAAGAGCUUCCAAAGAUGGCUUAGCCAGGGUAAGGAUGGGAGAAGGGGGAGAAGAGCAGCCUUGGAACAAAGGUUAUACGCACAUUGUAGGCUUGUGAAGGAGGUGGGAGCGACCAGGAAUAGCUGGGGCUUGGGAGUGGGCUAGUGAGUGCCUUACCUCACAGGACUCCUCCAAAAGUUGAUGUCAUUUUGCAAUCUCGGGGGAUCACUCCCUUUCUGGAUAAGACUUCUCUUUCUAGUCCAGACAUCAGCUUUUCAGUAUGGAGCAUUUCCAGCUUCAUCCCUCAAAGCAUGAGUGGGGCUGUUCUUCAAAGGCAGCCCUGAAAGGCUAAAAAAAUUGGUAGGCUCCCUGGGGCAUGAGGAGGAAAAGGUCUUACAGCAGCUAGAACAGGAUAGAAGAUAUUAUCUUAGUAACUUAUGCUGCACGUCCUUACUAAGAUAUAUGGUCCAACAGGUCUAUUCAUCAUCUCCAACAUGCCUUAUGUUUUGUUCUUAUUUCUGAAACUUGUUUCAGAGUGAUUUCCUUGGCUUGGAGUUUCCUCUCUGUUGAUCUCACUUCCAACCAUCAUUCAAAUCUCAGCUCAAGCCAUCUUUUCCUUCUAUGCCUUCCCUGACCAGUGCAACAGAUCUUGCUUAUUUAGCAGUGCGGGAGGUUGGUGAGAGAUAUGUGUAUGCAGGGAUUAGAAGGUGUUGGAGGGAAUAAGGAGGGAGGAUGAGUAGGGCCUUUAGGGCUGGUUUUCUGAAUCAUUCUCACAUUGGGUGAUUUUAGUCUCCUUGUUUCAAGAAUGAGGUCAGUUUUCUUUGUAUCUUCCACAGUAUCUUUAUAUAACAUUGUCAUCCAAUGUACAUUUAUGGAGUAGUUUUUGAUAUCUAUUGUCAUGGUCAGAAUUUGACUACAACAGUCUUCAAAUAUUUUACUUUGGGAGCUUACUUUAUGUAUCUUAAAUGCAAAUAAAUUUUUUUUCUUAAGAUAAAUGAAUAAGAAGCCAUUUCAUCCUCAUUUAUUAUGAUGUAAUAAGAUUGUAAAUUAUUUGAGAGAAAACCCCUUAUCUGGUAUGACAUUGUUAAUUUCAUAACUGCAGUGCUGGAUACUGUUUUCCUAUGUCAGGUAAUGUCUUGCUAAUAACGUGCUUAAUACCUCCUCUCAAUAUUUCUGACUUCAUCCUCCUUGUAAUAUUCAAAGAAUAUAAAUAAAAUAUUUUAAAAAUGUAUUAUUAAGAUUGACAUAUGUUCAAAUGUGUCAGAUGCCAUAUAACACAGAUUUCCCAACCAUUUGUUCAAUAAUUACCAUUGGAACUAGGCAUAUAACUUAGUGAGCUCAAUAAACAAAAACAGUAUCAUAUAUUCAUUGUAUCCAUUCAACCAGGCAUAAUUAGACAUUGAAGAUAAAGGUCAAUAAAAUAUACAUGCAUCCUCCUCUCUUGAGACCCAUGCUAGUUGAGAAAGAAACACAUAUAAGGAAUCACACUAUUGAUUAUUAGUUACAAAUGUGGCAGUUAUUGUCAAGGAGAAUUAUUAAGUACUAGGAGAGGAUGUCAUAGCGGGACUUCCAGGGGUCUCCUGUGGAGAUUGGGGAGGGCCGUGUCUUUUGUUCUUUUUCCUGAGAGUCAGAAAUCAGAGUUUGGAAUAAACAAAUGAAGCUGCUGUUCAACUGCAAAAAUAGAUAUAAAAGAACACGCUCUUGACUUUCAGAAUUCUAUCACUGAAGAAUGAUAGCUGUAGAACAACCUUUGAAAGUUAAAUGAACAGUAUAGGGCAUGAUUUAGGUAUUUAGCAAUGUGCUUUAAAAGUCAUAGCAACAGUCUAAAAUGGAUAGUUCAUCCAUAUUGAUAGUACCUCUUUUUCAAGUACCAAAAAUCAAGGGUGAAUAUAUAGAAAUAUGGUUUGGGAGAAAUCAUCUGUUCUGACUCAUUACUGCUUGAAAUCAAACUGAGGCAGAUAUUUCCAUCAUAGGAAGAAGCAUUGUCAAGUGUUUAGACCAAUAUAUCCCAAACAUUGUAUCACUUCUCCUCCACAGUUGAUUUUGCUCACUGAUAUUUUGAUUUUAUAGCAGAAAAAAAAAUUCACAAAGUCCAACAUUUGUUAUAAAGGAAUUGUUUGUAUCUGUCCAGCCAGAAGAUUCAUGAUGUCUUCCUUGACGGGAUGCUGAAGAGUCAUAUACUGUGAGUCUCCAUGUGCAGUAAAAGUAUGUCUUUGGAGAAAACUUAUUUGGAAACUUAAAAAAAAAAAAAAGUCUAUUAGUUUCCUGUGGCUGUUGUACCACAAACUUGAUGUGGUUUCUAGUUCUAGCUGAAAAUAACACACGUAUAUCUUCUUUCAGUUUUGGCGAUCAGACACCCAAAGUCAGCUUCACUUGCCAUGUCCAGUUUCAAGAGCUGCAUUUCUUGCUUGCCUUUACUCGGGUCACCUUCUUCCAUCUUCAAGGCUUAGCAUCAUUAAAACUCUGUCUGCUCCAUCACCACAUCACUUUCUCCUCUUCCCUGUCUGUCCGAAAUUUUCUUCUGCCUCUUAUAGGAACGCUUAUGAGGGCAAUUAGGUCCCGUCCAGAUAACCCAGGGUCCUUGUUUUAUCUCAGAAAUCUUUAGUUUAAUCACAUCUGCAAAGUCACUUUUUGCCACAUAAGGUAACAUCUACAAGUCCCAGGGAUUAGAACAUGACUAUUUUUUUGGUGAGGAAUGGGGUGAGUGGGGAGGGUAUUUUUCAGCCAAAUACAUUGUAUCUCUUUACUGCCAUGUUUUUAUGCUUAUAGCUUUGUGAGCUGCCCAAAUGCUUAGGUUUUACUUCCCCAUUUGGUAAUAGAUUUUAAAUUAUUUUUUCAACAUUUUCUUUUGUUUUACUGAACUCCCUAAUAAAGAGUUUCUUCUUAUUUCCUCUUGGACAAAGAUUAACUGUUCACUCUUUUACCAAUUGAAAAACCAUGAUAGUCACUCAUCAUGUUGUCGUUUAUAAAAUGGAAUUUACAGCUAUGGUUUUCAUUAGCUCCUACUAUAAAGCUACUUCAAGACCAAGUGCUGUAUUUUCUCUUCUCCCUGGGGGAGACUUGAUCCUUUUGUCAGUUAGUGAAUCAUGUCUACCUAUUUGCUUGAAAGUAUUGAAAUAGCUGUAUCAAGAGUAAGGAAAACAAGGUUAAAAUAUCCAUGCCAAACCAAUGUUAUACUACUUUCCAACACGAAAACAAUUAUGUCUGUAUUUUUAGAAGCAACUUUGAUUCCAUCAUCUUAUAAGUAUCCUUGAUGUGUCCAACCAAAACUGUGAACUAGAAUGAAAUUAUUAUUCUGCAACAGGCAAUUAGUGAGGCAAGUUGCACAGAGCAGACAGUGGCUUGGCAGCUGAGUAAAAUUUUCAGUUUUCCCCCCAUCAAAAUGUGCAUCUGUUGACAUGUAUUCAGUUUAAGAUAUGGAAAAUCUAACUCAAAUAUGCAAGAAUACUAAGAAUUUUUUUUUUCAGUAAUUAUACACAGGUCCAGAUGUUGAGCAGCUUCCAGGCUUGAUUAACUUAGUGACUCAAAGAUAUUUCUAGGAUCCAGUUUCUGUCUGCUUCUCUGUUUUGCCUUCUAUGUAUUAUCUUCCAUUUAUAACCAAAUUCAGGCUACUAGGGCAACACUAAACACAACAUUGAGAAUAGGUAUAUACCAUUGUCCCUCAUGAGCUGGUACAAAGCCAGAUCUGGCACACCAUCUGUUGAAUCCAUAGGGAAAGAAUUCAGGCAUCUUUGGAUUUUUUCAUCCUGAUACAGAGGUCAUUAACCACUAAGUGAUUUUUAUUUAUGCUCUUAUUUUCACUUUAAGAAGCAGUGGAAAUUCUAGGUUGUGGAAUUAAGGGAAAUUUCUUUUUUCUUUAUUUUCAAGGAGUAUCAGGGUUAGAUUUAUUCUUUCAACUACAAUAUCAACAGAAAAAUUUACAUCAGAGAUCUAACACUAUCAUUUCCAACUAACAGGCAGUUGGCCCUAAAAUUCACAUGGCAGUGCCCAAAUGCAUCUUGAUGUUCAAAUAGUGAAUGUUUACCAAUUCUUUGCUGCUCUCUGUAUACAUUCUAGGGCUUUAAAACAUUUCUGCCCUGUCUGGGUAUCUCUAUUUUCCUUUCCACUACUCAAUUCCACUAAUUUUGGCUUUCUUUUCAGAAGCAGGAGAGAAAGAUUAACUAUUUAAUCGUUCAAGAGGUAGUUGAUAUAUAUCUUGUGUUUAAGGACGUAUUGCUGUUUAAAAAAUUUUCCCCACAUUUACUGGAUUAAAAGAGCAUACUUAUUGUCUCAGAGUAUCUGUGACUCAGGGAUCCAGACUUAGCUCAGAAGGAUGCCUCAAAAUCAGACUCUUUUACGCUGCAGGAUUUACUUCCCAGCUCACAUGGUUAUCAGCAGUGUUCCGUGUCUUGCAGGUUGUUGGUCAGAGUUCCAUGAUAGUUAUUGGUUUCUUGCUGCAUGGACUUUCCCAAUAAGACGUCCUGCUUCAUCAAAGCCCCAAGUGGAGACAGUCUGCAAACAAGGUAGUAGUCUCUAUCUCAUGCAGUGUGCUCAUGGAAGUGGCAGACCAUCCUUUUGCCUAUUUUGGUUAAAGCCAAGUCGCUAGGAGAGGGGAUUACACAAAGGCAUGGCUAUGAUGGUUUGUUCCUUAUUAAUUAUUAUUAAUGAACAUGUUUACUGCAUUCAUAUAGUGCAAAGGAAUUUAUAAGGCAUGUCAAAUAACUAUAUGAGAUACAGGGACUGUGGUUAGAUUUUAGAGAUUUCCCAUGAGACCAAAAACUAGGACAAAGUCUGUCAUAUUCACAAAAUUCUGUCCUUUAGUACUUCUUCUUUGUAAAAUAUAUUUGUAAUCUUUUUUUUUUUAGGGCCAGACCCAUGACAUAUGGAAGUUCCCAGGCUAGGGGUCAACUUUGAGCUACAGCUGCAGACCUACAGCACAGCCACAGCAAUACCACAUCUAAGCCACGUCUGCAACCUAUACCACAGCUCAUGGCAAUGUCAGAUCCCUGACGCACUGAGAAAAGCCAGGGAUCCAACCGGCAUUUUCAUGGAUACUAGUCAGACUCGCUUCCACUGCAUUGCAGUGGGAACUCCUGUAGUCUUUGAUGGUAGAGAAAAAAGUAGAAAAAGCAGUAGUGAAAUUUUUAUUGCAACUAUAUCCAGGAGAGCUUGGUCAUCAGUUUCCUUUGUCACUCUGGCCACGGAAGGACAGAUGGAAAUCUGAAACACAGGAUGUGCCUUGUGGUAAGCCUUUCUGCACUCUGCCUAUCACACCCUCUGCCUGCUCCACGUUCUCAAUCUCACCCUCUGUCUCUCUCACAGUUGGAUGAGGAAGGCAGCUUUUAUACUCAUUGGCACACUAUCUGAAAUUCUCCAAAACCAAGACACUGGAAACUUCUCCUCUUGGAUUCCAAGCUUUUUGGCACCAGUCAAUUUGCCCUAAAGAAUUCUUGCAGAAAAAUACAGUCAAGCAGUAUUAAUGCUUUCCCAAAUACUUUAAAAUGUGUUCAGAAACCAUCACAGAGAAGCAAACAAGCAAAAGUAUAAGCUUGUAAGGGCAAAAUCAACCAUUUUUUUGAAAGAGACCUUUGACUUUAUCCUUACCUGUAUUUACAGAAACUGAGAGUUUAAAAGGAGUUAUAAUUUCAGUAUGUAAUCAAGGACAAAGGGGCCUGGCAGUGUCCAGGAGUUCACCUCCCCCCCACACUAGAGACAAAAGUUCUGUUCCUUACUAAAUACGUGACUUUGAAAAAGUGACUUCACAUCUCUCAACUUCAAGCCCUUUCCCUACCUGGUUUCCAAAAUGAAAAUGCAAACUUUCACUGUGGUCGUGUGGUUCAAGUGAUUUUAAGUCCUCGGACGCACAGAAUAAAGUGCUUUAGGAGUUCCCGUUGUGGCUUUGCAGAAAUGAGCCAACUAUAUCCGUGAGGAUGCAGGUUAGACCCCUGGCUUCACUCACUGGGUUAAGGAUCCAGCGUUACCAUGAGCUAUGGUGUAGAUCACAGAUGCAGCUCAGGUGCCAUGUUGCUGUGGCUGUGGUGUAGGCUGGUGCAGCUCCACUUUGACCCCUUGCCUGGGAACUUCCAUCUGCCACGGGUGCAACCCUAAAAAGACAAAAAAAAAAAAAAAAAAAAAAAAAAGU